GACGAACGCUGGCGGCGUGCUUAACACAUGCAAGUCGAACGGAAAGGCCUCUUUCGGGGGGUACUCGAGUGGCGAACGGGUGAGUAACACGUGAGUAACCUGCCCUUGACUUUGGGAUAACUUCAGGAAACUGGGGCUAAUACCGGAUAGGAGCUCCUGCUGCAUGGUGGGGGUUGGAAAGUUUCGGCGGUUGGGGUUGGACUCGCGGCUUAUCAGCUUGUUGGUGGGGUAGUGACUUACCAAGGCUUUGACGGGUAGCCGGCCUGAGAGGGUGACCGGCCACAUUGGGACUGAGAUACGGCCCAGACUCCUACGGGAGGCAGCAGUGGGGAAUAUUGCACAAUGGGUGGAAGCCUGAUGCAGCAACGCCGUGUGCGGGAUGACGGCCUUCGGGUUGGAAACCGCUUUCGCUCAUGACGAAGCUUUGUGUGACGGUAGUGGGUAAAGAAGCACCGGCUAACUACGUG
rnacentral:rRNA from 1 species